GGCCUCGUAGCUCAGCUGGCAGAGUGUGUGCUGUACAAAACUGUAGGCGGCGUCCAUUCGUCGGUUCGAAUCCCAUCGAGGCUA
rnacentral:tRNA from 1 species